UGGGGAAUUUUGGACAAUGGGCGAAAGCCUGAUCCAGCAAUGCCGCGUGUGUGAAGAAGGCCUUCGGGUUGUAAAGCACUUUUGUCCGGAAAGAAAUCCUUGGCUCUAAUACAGUCGGGGGAUGACGGUACCGGAAGAAUAAGCACCGGCUAACUACGUGCCAGCAGCCGCGGUAAUACGUAGGGUGCAAGCGUUAAUCGGAAUUACUGGGCGUAAAGCGUGCGCAGGCGGUUUGCUAAGACCGAUGUGAAAUCCCCGGGCUCAACCUGGGAACUGCAUUGGUGACUGGCAGGCUAGAGUAUGGCAGAGGGGGGUAGAAUUCCACGUGUAGCAGUGAAAUGCGUAGAGAUGUGGAGGAAUACCGAUGGCGAAGGCAGCCCCCUGGGCCAAUACUGACGCUCAUGCACGAAAAGCGUGGGGAGCAAACAGGAUUAGAUACCCUGGUAGUCCACGCCCUAAAACGAUGUCAACUAGUUGUUGGGGGAUUCAUUUCCUAGUAACGUAGCUAACGCGUGAAGUUGACCGCCUGGGGAGUACGGUCGCAAGAUUAAAACUUAAAUGAAUUGACGGGGUCAUAGCUG
rnacentral:rRNA from 1 species